CAGAUCAAGCACCAGUGUAUGGUUCAGUUGUGAUAACGACGAACGGAGUUACCUUUCCACGGAGUUACCUUUCUUAUUUCAAUUCCCCAUAUAUGUACUUUCAAGGGGAUAUAUCGAAGUCUUACACGUUUAGGGAAAAAAAUGAUACACUGUACCCUCUGAUUGGAGUCUGCCUCAUGGCUCAGGUUACCCAUCCAAAACAGAAGCUUUUCCUUGUUCCCGUACAAAAUUGCACAACAAUACCAGGUGCUCGUGUUGUACCCGGCUUAAUAUACAAUCGCAGAUGUGCUAAAGUUACCGAUAAUACAGGAAUGUGCUUGGGAAUGGACAACGACAAGACCGCCUUUCUUUCAUUGCCUCCAUGUGGUUAUUUUACCGUAAUCAAUUAUCCAGUCAAACGAUCAC
rnacentral:lncRNA from 1 species